GGGGAAGCAAGCCAGUAAAGAACAUCCCUCCAUGGCCUCUGCAUCAGCUCCUGCUCCCUGACCUGCUUGAGUUCCAGUCCUGACUUCCUUGGUGAUGAACAGCAAUGUGGAAGUGUGACAGAUCCUGGUCCCUGGAAGGCUGCUAGCCAGAGACUCAAAGACAACGCCUUCAUAGGAUGCUGUGGGUACUCAUGAGAGAAGGCUCUCCCAGACAGCAUGGCCUGCACAAACUCUGGAUUCUGACAUUGCAUUCGUACAAACAAACGUGCGUUUUGAUCAAUGAAUUAUUUUAAGAUGAAGAUUUCAAGUUUCUGGGCUUUGAGGAAACAUGUUAGUUUUAAUUUCCAUGGUUACCAAGCUUAAAAAGUAUAUGAUCUCUAAUUAUUAUAAAUUUCAAAACGAAGGCCUUAUUUGGUGUACCACUGUAAUCAGGAAAAUGUGAUUUCACUCUGUCUAUGCUUUCCGUCACACUUUCAAAUAACUUCCAGUGAAACAAGGCUGCAAAUAAAACUGUACAAUAUUGGUUAAA
rnacentral:lncRNA from 1 species